rnacentral:snRNA from 1 species
AUCCUUUUACCAGCAGCUCGAGAU